rnacentral:rRNA from 1 species
CAGCAGCCACGGUAAUACGGAGGAUCCGAGCGUUAUCCGGAUUUAUUGGGUUUAAAGGGUGCGUAGGCGGCUUUUUAAGUCAGGGGUGAAAGACGGUAGCUUAACUAUCGCAGUGCCCUUGAUACUGAAGAGCUUGAAUGUACUAGAGGUAGGCGGAAUGUGACAAGUAGCGGUGAAAUGCAUAGAUAUGUCACAGAACACCAAUUGCGAAGGCAGCUUACUAUGGUAUGAUUGACGCCGAGGCACGAAAGCGUGGGGAUCAAACAGGAUUAGAUACCCCAGUAGUCCCUGUCUCUUAUAC